GAUGAAGAACGUAGCGAAAUGCGAUAAGUAAUGUGAAUUGCAGAAUUCAGUGAAUCAUCGAAUCUUUGAACGCACCUUGCACCCUUUGGCAUUCCGAAGGGUAUGCUCGUUUGAGUGUCAUUGUACUCUCACACUUCUGAUCCUUUGGAUUGGGAGCGGUGGACUUGGGUGUUGCUGCUUUACUGUGGCUCACCUCAAAUGCAUUCGUGCAACUCUUGGUUGGACAUAGUACGGCGUGAUAAGUAUCUUCGCCGGCACCUCGCAAGAGGGUGGCUGAUCAGGAGCUCUGUGCUUUCCAACUGUCUUCGGACAAUUUCUGACAACUUGACCUCAAAUCGAGUAGGACUACCCGCUGAACUUAAGCAUAUCAAUAAGCGGAGGA
rnacentral:misc_RNA from 1 species